CCUCAGUCCCUCUGUUCAGCCAGACUCAAUCAUCCCCAGCCCUCUGCAUUGCUCUCUGUCCUUAUCUCUAACUCAAUCUGAAAACGGGAUGCACCGUUUUGCUAUGGUUUCCAGGUCGAACAACAUGUUUACUCGAAACUGUGUGCAAAGGGCAUUGAGGACUCUAUGAUGGAGAGAAGGUGGUGUGGCUCAUAUCCUACUUAGUGGGUGUCUGAAGUUAAUUGUCCUCCUGGAUCAAUCCUCUUCACUUCACAAUCUACAUUUUGUCAUCAUAAUUGUAUAUACUAUGACUUUCUGUUGUGAAUCUAUUCUGUACACACAACAUUUGUUCCAUGUCUGUCCCUCCUGGGAGAAGGAUUUCUCCUCUGUUACUCUUCCUGUUAAAAGGGUUCUUUAGGGGGAGUCAUUUGAGUUGAGGGUCUAAGGACAGAGGAUGUUGUAUGCUGUACAGCUUGUAAAGCAUCUUGAUUGUGAUGUGAUAUUGGGCUAUAUAAAUAAAAUUGACAUGACUCUG